UACGGAGGAGGCAAGCGGUAUCCGGAAUUAUUGGGCGUAAAGCGUCCGUAUGUGGUUGGCCAAGUCUGCUGUCAAAGGGUGGGGCUUAACCUCAUAAAGGCAGUGGAAACUGGCGAGCUAGAGUGCGGUAGGGGUAGGGGGAAUUCCCAGUGUAGCGGUGAAAUGCGUAGAUAUUGGGAAGAACAUCGGUGGCGAAAGCGCCCUGCUGGGCCUGCACUGACACUGAGGGACGAAAGAUAGGGGAGCGAAAGGG
rnacentral:rRNA from 1 species